AAGUCGUAACAAGGUUUCCGUAGGUGAACCUGCGGAAGGAUCAUUAACACGUUUUAUCACAAAACAAACCAAACUCUGUGAACUGAGGUGAGCCUCCCAUUUAUGGGGGUAAAAAUUGGUCAUGUUACUGGAUGCUUCUGCUUCGGCAGAGUGUUUUAGUUUCAUGUUCCAGUCUCGCUUGCCGAACUUUAUUUAACCGAUAUAACCUUGUCAAGGUACUCUUGUAGUAACUUGUCAGGUAUAAAUUUCAUUUUUUCUCUUAUGUGCAUCUGUUGACACCGACACGUGUCGCAGAGUCACUUAAAACAAACUCGAACAACUCUUAGCAACGGAUAUCUUGGUUCCCA
rnacentral:misc_RNA from 1 species